GGACAAUUGGUGGCAUCCCCGGACCUCCACCGUCACAUAUAGUGAGUAUGGCUUACCAAAGCGCACCCCUGCGGUUCCUCACGCAGAACUGCAGAGGGCUCAACAUCCCCGAACGACGGACGCACCUGCUGCGCGAACUGAGGAAAAAGCGCGUCAUGAUCGCUAUGCUUCAAGAAACGCACUUUAAGGAGGGGUCAACCCCUAACUUACGUAAUAGGCACUUCCCUAAUAAUUACUUCUGCAACCACCCGACUGCGCAUAAAUCUGGAGUAGCUACAUUAUUGGCCGCG